rnacentral:sRNA from 1 species
GCCGGGCAUGAUGGCUCAUGCCUGUAAUCCUAGCACUUUGGGAAGCUGAGGUGGGUGGAUCACCUGAGGCCAGGAGUUCGAGAUCAGCCUGGCCAACAUGGUCUCUACUAAAAAUACAAAAAUUAGCUGGGCUUGGUGGCAGACGCCAGUAAUCCCAGCUACUAAGGAGGCUGAGGCAGGAGAAUUGCUCGAACCCAGGAGGUGGAAGUUGCAGUGAGCCGAGAUCAUGACACAGCACUCCAGCCUGGGCAACAGAGUGAGACUCUGUCUCA